UGAGUCAAAAAGACGAUUGCGAAUGCGCUAGUGUUCCGCCAAUUUUAAAACUGCAAAUUAAAUUUACGGAAAAAGAUCUGUGAAGAAAUUGUAGUUUCAGAGUUGGUGGAGCACUAGGGCGUAUUUGAGGAAAGUCCGAGCUCCGUAGGGCAGGGUGCUGGAUAACGUCCAGCGAGGGUGACCUCAGGGAAAGUGCCACAGAAAUGUAGACCGCCUGGUAUUUGCCAGGUAAGGAUGGAACGGUGCGGUAAGAGCGCACCAGCAAUCAGGUGACUGAUUGGCUAGGUAAACCCCACUUGGAGCAAGACCGAAUAGGGAAGGGAUGAAGCUGCCCGCUGAGCCUUCCGGGUUGCGUCGCUUGAGCUGUCAGGCAACUGGCAGCCUAGAUAAAUAAUCGUCACCGCGCUAGCGGAACAGAACUCGGCUUAUUGAUGACUCAUAAU
rnacentral:RNase_P_RNA from 1 species